AUCGCUUCUCAGCCUUUUGGCUAAGAUCAAGUGAAGUAUCUGUUCUUAUCAGUUCAGUUACUUCAGACGUGUAUCUAGAAGUGGGAUAGCUGGGUCAUAUGAUAGGUCUAUUUUUAGUUGGUUGAAGAGCCACUUAAACAUUUUCCAUAAUAUUUGUACUUCACUAGUAAUAUUGUAUUGGGGCCAGCGCCAUGGCUCACUAGGCUAAUCCUCC
ensembl:snRNA U2 U2 spliceosomal RNA